rnacentral:rRNA from 1 species
CCUACGGGAGGCAGCAGUGAGGAAUAUUGGUCAAUGGACGAGAGUCUGAACCAGCAAAGCAGCGUGAAGGAUGACUGCCCUAUGGGUUGUAAACUUCUUUUAUAUGGGAAUAAAAUGUUCCACGUGUGGGAUUUUGUAUGUACCAUAUGAAUAAGGAUCGGCUAACUCUGUGCCAUCAGCCGCGGUAAUACGGAGGAUCCGAGCGUUAUCCGGAUUUAUUGGGUUUAAAGGGAGCGUAGGUGGAUUGUUAAGUCAGUUGUGAAAGUUUGCGGCUCAACCGUAAAAUUGCAGUUGAAACUGGCAGUCUUGAGUACAGUAGAGGUGGGCGGAAUUCGUGGUGUAGCGGUGAAAUGCUUAGAUAUCACGAAGAACUCCGAUUGCGAAGGCAGCUCACUGGACUGCAACUGACACUGAGGCUCGAAAGUGUGGGUAUCAAACAGGAUUAGAUACCCCAGUAGUC